rnacentral:rRNA from 1 species
UACGUAGGGUCCGAGCGUUGUCCGGAAUUAUUGGGCGUAAAGAGCUCGUAGGCGGUUUGUCGCGUCUGCUGUGAAAUCCCGAGGCUCAACCUCGGGCCUGCAGUGGGUACGGGCAGACUGGAGUGCGGUAGGGGAGAAUGGAAUUCCUGGUGUAGCGGUGGAAUGCGCAGAUAUUAGGAGGAACACCGGUGGCGAAGGCGCCACUCUGGGCCGAAACUGACGCUGAGGAGCGAAAGCAUGGGUAGCAAACAGG